GACCUAAACCAAGCUUCGGCUUGGCACGGUUUAGAAAUCAACGGAAAGAAAAAGCUCGUCAUGAGUAUUUCUUUCCGUUGUCAUAGCUCGAAAGGGCUAUGGGUAGCCGCAAGGCUGCC
rnacentral:sRNA from 1 species